rnacentral:rRNA from 1 species
GCCAGAGAGAUCGGCAGCUGGGAGCUGGCAGAGGGAAGAGGAGAGAAAACAGAUACCAAGGGGCGCCCCGCCGCCGGAACUCGCGGAGGUCGCGGGGGGCAUAGAGGUGCUAGGGGAAGGGCGUCAGGAUCGGCGGGGAGAGAUAAAGGAUUGCCUAGCGGCGAAUCCCAAGGCCGUACGGUGGUGGCGGAGGGCACGAGGGACGGUGGCGGGGACGUAGAGUUGGCGGCAGGCGGCCGGGUGGUGAGGAGGCAGCUGGAGGGAGUUAGAAAACAGAUACCAAGGGGCGGAGGCGGAGGCGGAGGCGGCGGCAGCGGCCGCGGUAGCGUUUUAGAGUCCCGUCCAGUCCUGAUGUCCGACCACCACGAACACACCUCAGCGGCGGCGCCUAGGGAUCCCAGCGGCGGUGGCGGCGACUAGGAGUGCCUGCUUCGUCUGCGGCCGCUUGUCCCAUCCCGCACCGGUUGCUCCUCGUCGUCGGCCUAAACACGUGUUAACCGCCGUCUAAACGACAACGACCGGGGAAUGCGCGAGGAGGGGUUAACGUCUCUACCCCUCUAAAAACACACACUGACCCACUACGGCAACUACACGACGAAGAUGGUUACCUCCCACAGAUUACAACGACGACGAUUACGGAUGUGUGUCUCUCUCUCUCUCUAACAACACUGCCUUUUGUAACUCUAGAUUGUCUUCAUGGGCGCGUCCGUAACGUAACCAACUUACGUUUUGUACUUUUUUUUAUACUUUUAAGAUGAAGGUUGACUUUUACCAUUGGCCGUUCGUCCACCUAGGUGUUGAACCACCUACCUUAAAGUUCCGUGUGACAAGUCCAAUUGGGGUUACGUACCUGACGUUAGAUGUAGUAGGCGGUUUACUGCAUGUAGGUCCGUUCGUCCACCUAGGUGUUGAACCACCUACCUUAAAGUUCCGUGUGACAAGUCCAAUUGGGGUUACGUACCUGACGUUAGAUGUAGUAGGCGGUUUCCUGCAUGUAGGUCCGGGGAUUUCACAGUUAGACACUAAUGGACAGAUUUUCCACGAACUAAAGAAAGGGAACUGAUUACACCCGAGACUAGAAAAAAGGAAGACCUAAACGACAUCCCGUACUUGUUUCGAACUAACGAACUUACCCGAAACUGGUCUAAUAACAAAAUGACCAGUCAAUCAAGUAGCGUCUGAGCUUCAUGUCUACUAGACUACAGUCUAACAAGUGUGUUGCUACAGGAACGGUGAAGAAAUCCAAUAAGGGUUUUCUUGUGUCUUACUUACCUACCGACCUGAGCAAAGGAGUGCGUACUUUACACGGACCGUAAUCGUUUGUAGUGUUUUUUGUUUUGGUCGAGUAAAAUACGAUCGUGUAUUGGAAUGCAUGUCAAUUUCAUAACUUUACUUCUGAUGACCUGUUACGUCUCGUUAAAUAAAAGGAAAGGAAACAACGUAUGAAACUUAGUUCAAUUUAAAGGGCACAGACGGACUCUCUUUUGGUACGAACACAAAAAUUCUUUAGCUCGUUCUGUGGCAGGAACAAUUUUUUUCUAUGUAUGGUUACUAACAAAAGAGUACAAUACAACCGUUAGAGCUCAGAGACACGACGAAACGUCGCUCUAAAUAUAAAAUACUCUAGACGGAGACAGAAAGAACUUUUAUUAAUUCGAAAACAAAAGGUGUUGUUUUUGUGUGAUCCUUUACGUAAACACUCAACGGUUGUUGAAAACAGUUACAUCGUCAUAAAAAAAGUUCAGACAGACUUCUCCCGUGUUCAUAUAAGUGUGUCUAUUUUACUACCACUAAUUGGCUGGUUCGACGGAGGUAACUCAGAUGGAAAAUCUCGAAGUGUCAAUUUACAUCGUAACACCAAUGUUAACACCGAUGAUAAAAAUUCUGAUGUUAACACCGAUGAACGUUUCUAUAACAAAACUCAAAGAUGAAAAACCAAGUCGAACAAACCAAAAGUCAUCGACCAGUGAAAUACAAUACUGGCCGAACCAGAUAAGAUCCUUUUACGGGUUGCCCGUAAUCAUAAUCCCCGAACCGGGUGUUCAAUAGAAUCCGUUCAAUAGAAUCCUUUCAAUAGAAUCCGAUUUCAAUAUUUAUGAGUACAUUCUGUAGCAAAACUCCUUC